GAAGAUGCGAGCGUUAUCCGGAUUUAUUGGGUUUAAAGGGAGCGUAGGCGGGCUGUUAAGUCAGCGGUCAAAUGUCAGGGCCCAACCUUGUCAUGCCGUUGAAACUGGCGGUCUUGAGUUCACACAAGGAAGGUGGAAUUCGUUGUGUAGCGGUGAAAUGCUUAGAUAUCACGAAGAACUCCGAUUGCGAAGGCAGCUCACUGGAGCGCAACUGACGCUGAAGCUCGAAAGUGCGGGUAGC
rnacentral:rRNA from 1 species